AAAAUGAGUUGGGGUACGGGAUGCUGCUGCGAUAAAGAAAUGUUUAUUAGGCGAUUAUCCUUUGCCUUAAACGAAAGAAGCAGCUAUUAGGUGGUACAGACUAAGCGGCCUUGGGGUAAUGGUGAUUUCUUCACUGCAGCUCCUUGAAGAGUACUUCGGAUGAAUACCGAAUGGUGACUGGACUGCUAGCUGUCUUCCGCAGUCUUCCCCCAGCAGUGGAGUCGGAGGGGAGCAGACCUUGUUGCUGCGAGCAUGCCGGACCAAAUCAUACCGCAUCUAUGUUGACCCACUUUGGACUCAGACUGGGAAAGCAAAUCAAUUCGUCAUUUCCUUAUUUUCCACUUGUUACAGGAUGUUGAAGGAGCAUGCUUGUCUGUGUGAUAUCGAACAUGACCCCCAGAAGAUCUGAGAUGUGGACAUGCUGUAAGUCAUGCUCAUCUGCUAGCAAAUUCUUCAUGGAAUUACAUGACCACCUCAACCAGUUUUUAGCAUGAAGUUUAAGCUGUGACAGUGCAGAUGGUAACUGAUGAAAUGAGUUAAUAAGCAACAGUUUAGAGAAGUUUUUUUUGGUAGUGUCCCAGCUCUGUAGAUAGUCUUAUAAGCAUGAAAAUUACUCCUGCUACAGCUGUCUGUUGAGAAGCUGUGGAGUUCAUGUUGGAGGUCCUUCCUGGGCUGCAUCACCCACCGAGUCAGGGUCUUGAAUCGGUGUCGCGCGAGGGCAGCAGUGUGGCGUGCGGGAAGACGGAGGGAGGUGGAAGCGCCUGUGCUCAGACCAAAGCCGGUUCCUAGCGUGGUAGUCAGAUGUGCUGUUUGGCAUGAAUUUGCCUGUGGAUGCAACGAACAGUGUUGACUGUGCAGGGGAAGGAAGCGAAGGCUUUCUGUGUUUUGAAGAGCGAGGCAUGUAUUAUCGUGCAAUCAGGUAUGUUCCUGAUGCAGUGUUUAGGUGAUAUUCCCAGAGCUGCUCUUAACAGUCAUUCAGGACAAGGGCAAUAAUUCAGUUGGAUGCAGCAUUUCUUUACCAGUCACAAUUUCCUUGUGAAUGUCAUAUAUUUUGUAAGAGUAAAUGCACUAUGCCUAUUGUUGGCUCUAAAAAUCAUUAAAUUUAGUGCUGUGGUUUCUACAUUAGCAACAUUUUAAUUUUUUUUUUUUUAACAGCAUAGUGGUUUAAGUGAGGUGGUU
rnacentral:lncRNA from 1 species